GACGAACGCUGGCGGCGUGCCUAACACAUGCAAGUCGAACGGGGUGUUCCUUCGGGGACACUUAGUGGUGAACGGGUGAGUAACGCGUGAGAAACCUGCCUUUCAGUGGGGGACAACAGUUGGAAACGACUGCUAAUACCGCAUAAUGUUUCGAGAGGGCAUCCUUUUGAAACCAAAGCUUUAUGUGCUGAAAGAUGGUCUCGCGUCUGAUUAGCUAGUUGGUGAGGUAACGGCUCACCAAGGCGACGAUCAGUAGCCGGUCUGAGAGGAUGAACGGCCACAUUGGGACUGAGAUACGGCCCAGACUCCUACGGGAGGCAGCAGUGGGGAAUAUUGGGCAAUGGGGGAAACCCUGACCCAGCAACGCCGCGUGAAGGAANAAGGCCUGGGUUGUAACGUUACUUUACCUACGGACGAAGAACGUGACGGUACCU
rnacentral:rRNA from 1 species